AUACUUUUCAUAUGGGUAAUGAUGAGACUAUCGAAACUUCUGGAAAAUAUCAGUAAGCUGAGAGUGAAGAGGAUAAAUCGGAAGAAGGAAAUGAUCUGUAUUAAGAACCUGCAGCGAACACUGAAACUGCGGAGGAUUGUUUCAGGAAAGAGUGUGAGGGUGAAGAGGAGAAGGUGAUUAGUUCAUGGACGCAGUGGAUGGCAAUGAAUUCUUUUACAACGAAAAUGUUAAUGAUGUUCCAGAUGAGGAUAUUGAAAGCCAAAGGAUGUGUACUUCUCUAAAUGGCAUGAUAAACAGCGCUAAGUUUAAUUAUCCUAUUAGUCUUCUGGUAAACAGAACUAUAGAUGAAGUUAUUCUUUUGAUUGUAAAGUUUGCGCUUGUGCAUGCGCUAUCAUAAACCGAGAUCUAUGAUUUGUUCGCUUUCAUAAAAUUUUGACGUAGUUGUUUUACCGUCAACGAGAUACUUGAUGGACAAGCUGUUUUAUCCGGAAAGUUACACCCAACUUCCUGGAAUAUGCACCGAUUGUGGCGCAUAUAUAGGUAAAUUUACACGUAAAGAUUGUGUAACUAAUUGUAAUGUUUGUAAAGCCGAAAUUAAUGUUCAAGACUUCGCGUUUAAAGACUUUUUGUUAUGAUGGACGUUUCAUCUCCUAUUUCGAAAUUGAUAAGCAAUUUUUAAAGAAUUUAAAUGAAUUCGACGAAAAACGAUAUGAUACAGUAACUUUUAACACAGAUGGUGCACCCUUAUUUACUAGUUUCACAUAUUCUAUUUAGUUGAAAAUAUGAACAAUCUUUUCACGAAGGGAACGUGCACCAUCAAUUUGGAUCAAAAUUUUCUGUAUAAUUUUCCUGGAGAGUGGGUUCAACAUAAUUCCAAUAAUGCACAUUCUGGAAAUAUAAAAUAUCCUCUUUUUUAGCAAAGUGCCCCAAGAUAUAAAUGCGGGAGAUACUGUAAAACAUCAGAACAAAGCAGAAAAUGUAAAAAAAGGAACGGUUUUUGGAGUCCAAAAUUCAUCACACUUAAUAAGUUUAGUAAAUUUGGACAUUGCCUUUGGUUCCGUACCAGAUACUAUGAGUUAUAUCACUGGAAUAGCUAAGUUAUUCGCCACAAUGUGGCAUGGAAAUAAAUUGAAAGCUGGUCUAAUUCCUAAACAAAAGAUUAAUGAAAUUGAUGUUCUGUUAAAGAAAAUGAAUGUCCCUCACGCAAUCGGUAGACUUACGCGUACAUUGUCUGAAAAAGAAUUUUGGAAAGCUAGAUACAAAAAAUUAAGGAAUAAUAAUAAAUAAUAUAUUUGAUAUAUUAUUAUAUUAUUAUUAUAAUAAUUUAUAUCUAUAUUAUUAUAAAUAAUCUCUCUGACUAUCGCUUGAGACGAAAUAAUCCAAAUCGAUCCUGUAGAUCGCUUGAAUGAUGAUCUUAAAGAUGUUUUACCAUAGGAGUUUUUUUACCACUGGGCUCUAUUCGUAGAAGCAUUGUACAUACUAUCAAAUGGAACUAUUAAGACUUUUGAAGUGAAUUAUUUCGACAAACUAUUACAUGACUUUAUUGCUCUCACGGAAAUUUCUUGAUUGUAAAGUAUCUAUGACUUUUAAUAUGCAUUUGUUUUUACAUUUAUGUUGAAGCGUUAACGAUUGUGUAUUCCCUUUAGUCCCAUAACGCAUAUGUAUUUGUAUCUGGAACCGGAGACUUAUUGAAAGUUAGCCAUGCUGCAAAA